rnacentral:rRNA from 1 species
GACGAACGCUGGCGGCGUGCUUAACACAUGCAAGUCGAACGGAAAGGCCCUGCUUUUGUGGGGUGCUCGAGUGGCGAACGGGUGAGUAACACGUGAGUAACCUGCCCUUGACUUUGGGAUAACUUCAGGAAACUGGGGCUAAUACCGGAUAGGAGCUCCUGCUGCAUGGUGGGGGUUGGAAAGUUUCGGCGGUUGGGGCUGGACUCGCGGCUUAUCAGCUUGCUGGUGGGGUAGUGGCUUACCAAGGCUUUGACGGGUAGCCGGCCUGAGAGGGUGACCGGCCACAUGGGGACUGCGAUACGGCCCAGACUCCUAUGGGAGGCAGUAGUGGGGAAUAUUGCACAAUGGGCGGAAGCCUGAUGCAGAAACGCCGCGUGCGGGAUGACGGCCUUCGGGUUGUAAACCGCUUUCGCCUGUGACGAAGCGUGAGUGACGGUAAUGGGUAAAGAAGCACCGGCUAACUACGUG